UGGGGAAUAUUGGGCAAUGGGCGCAAGCCUGACCCAGCCAUGCCGCGUGAGUGACGAAGGCCUUAGGGUUGUAAAGCUCUUUUGGCGGGGACGAUAAUGACGGUACCCGCAGAAUAAGCCCCGGCUAACUUCGUGCCAGCAGCCGCGGUAAUACGAAGGGGGCUAGCGUUGUUCGGAAUCACUGGGCGUAAAGCGCACGUAGGCGGACUUUCAAGUCAGGGGUGAAAUCCCGGGGGUCAACCUCGGAACUGCCUUUGAUACUGUUGGUCUCGAGUCCGGAAGAGGUGGGUGGAAUUCCUAGUGUAGAGGUGAAAUUCGUAGAUAUUAGGAAGAACACCGGUGGCGAAGGCGGCCCACUGGUCCGGUACUGACGCUGAGGUGCGAAAGCGUGGGGAGCAAACA
rnacentral:rRNA from 1 species